rnacentral:rRNA from 1 species
GUAGGUGGCAAGCGUUGUCCGGAAUUAUUGGGCGUAAAGCGCGCGCAGGCGGUUCUUUAAGUCUGAUGUGAAAGCCCACGGGCUCAACCGUGGAGGGUCAUUGGAAACUGGAGAACUUGAGUACAGAAGAGGAAAGCGGAAUUCCACGUGUAGCGGUGAAAUGCGUGGAGAUGUGGAGGAACACCAGUGGCGAAGGCGGCUUUCUGGUCUGUAACUGACGCUGAGGCGCGAAAGCGUGGGGAGCAAACAGGAUUAGAUACCCUGGUAGUCCACGCCGUAAACGAUGAGUGCUAAGUGUUAGGGGGUUUCCGCCCCUUAGUGCUGCAGCUAACGCAUUAAGCACUCCGCCUGGGGAGUACGGCCGCAAAGGCUG